UACGGAGGGUGCGAGCGUUGUCCGGAAUCAUUGGGCGUAAAGGGCGCGUAGGUGGCCCGGUCAGUCCGUGGUGAAAGCGCGGGGCUCAACCCCGCGUCGGCCAUGGAUACUGCUGGGCUUGAGCACUGUAGAGGCAGGCGGAAUUCCGGGUGUAGCGGUGGAAUGCGUAGAGAUCCGGAAGAACACCGGUGGCGAAGGCGGCCUGCUGGGCAGUAGCUGACACUGAGGCGCGACAGCGUGGGGAGCAAACAGGG
rnacentral:rRNA from 1 species